rnacentral:rRNA from 1 species
UACGUAGGGCGCGAGCGUUGUCCGGAAUUAUUGGGCGUAAGGGUGCGUAGGCGGUUUGGUAAGUCUCGUCGUGAAAUCUCCCGGGGCUACAACUCGGAGCCUGCACGAGAAACUGCCGGGCUUGAGUGUGGGAUGAGGUGAGUGGAAUUCCUGGUGUAGCGGUGAAAUGCGUAGAUAUCAGGAGGAACACCUGUGGCGAAAGCGGCUCACUGGACCAUAACUGACGCUGAUGCACGAAAGCUAGGGGAGCAAACAGG